AACAAGAUAGACCAUAAUUUAUUCCAUAAUAGAUACCUCGCUUGUUUUUAUUGCUGCCUUGUACAAGCUCUUAAUAACUUAGCAUUGAUCUUCAGAAUGUGUUAGAUAUCCACUUUUUUCUUUUAACAAAUAUUUAUUGAACACCUCCUAUAUUAUAACAACUGUCCUGGUAGCAAAAAGAGCAGGCAACUCCCAUAUUUCGAAGAGUGAGGACAAGGGUGGAUGAUGUGAGAUGGUCAAGCCUCUUUCAGCUCCUUCUCCAUUAGAAUCCUCCGUGUCCUGAUGGAAACGCUGUCACCAAUUCUUCUCUAUUCUGUACAACCUGUGUCUGUACAGUGCUGAUUUUCCCUAAAUUGAUGGAACUUACUACAUCUUCCUGGAGCUUAGGAUAUAAGUUUGGAUUCAGGGAAAAGACGUUCAGAGAACUGUUCCUUGGAUGCAGUGCUAUCUAAGAAAAUGUCAAAUUUAUGCCAGUAAAACUCCCACCAGUUUUGGGGAGGAGGGUUGAUUAAUUCAGAACCCAAAAGAGCUUUAGAAACAGUGAGGGAGGAACAUGACCUUCUUCUUCUCAUUUUAUAAACAGCUAUUAAGGUGGCAAAACUCUGCACAGAGGCAUUGACUGAAAGAAGAUAGGAAAGGAGAGAGGUUAUUAGUGACCCCUUUCUUUAGCUGAAGUUACAGUCUGGUGACAGUUAACAGUCAUUGUGGUUGACAUAGGAAAUGCCAAGUGUCAAUGGAAGGCACCUUUAUGCUUGCAAGGUCAAAAUGACUGUACUUUGAGAUUGUAACCAUUGUGUCCUUGCCACGCCCAGCACCUCGAGUGCAAGGCUCUUGUACUUUUGCUACUAAUACGAAAUUGAAGUUUCUUGUUACAUCACUUCCCUAGAAUUAAGAGCUCAUGCUGGAGUCACUUCAAUGUCACAGCUCUGCACCCACAGUUCAGUUCAUCAGAUACUUUCUGUAUCAUGAUAGAACUUAGUUGACUGAAGAACCGCAGUUGGAAAACUCACUAAAAUGGUGAAAGGAACAGGAUAGGGGUUCAGAUGGAAUAAAAGUUUGGAAGUGAUAAUGUCUGUGAGCUAUUACUAUAUCUUAACAGAGGUGGGCUGGGGGUUAGUGCACUGGACUUCAUAAAUGACAGGCACCCCCAAAGAAAGGUCAUUU